rnacentral:rRNA from 1 species
UUAAAGUUUUAUUUUGGCUUUGAAUUUUAUUAUUGAUUUAUUUUAUAUGUAAGUUUUUGCGUGUAUUUUUGCUUAUUUAAAUAGUAAGUAAAAUAUAAUUAUAUUCUCAGUAAAUAAUAUUAUUAAUCAAAGAAAUUUGGAAAUAGUAAUUUCAUAGAGUAUUGGCUAAAUUUGUGCCAGCAGCCGCGGUUACACAAAUAAUACAAAUAAAAUUUGUUCAGUGUGAGUUAAAAUUUAUUAUAUAAAAAUAAUAUUAGAUUUAUUAGGUGAAAUUUUAAAUUUAAAAAUUUUUUAUUAUGAAGGUUUUGAAGCUUGUAAAUUUUAUUUAUAAACUAGGAUUAGAUACCCUA